GGUGCGGUACCCAAGUGGUAAGGGAAGAGUCUGCAAAACUUUUAUCGCCGGUUCAACUCCGGCCCGCACCU
rnacentral:tRNA from 1 species